UACGUAGGGUGCGAGCGUUGUCCGGAAUUAUUGGGCGUAAAGGGCUCGUAGGCGGUCUGUUGCGUCGGGAGUGAAAACUCAGGGCUUAACCCUGAGCCUGCUUCCGAUACGGGCAGACUAGAGGUAUGCAGGGGAGAAUGGAAUUCCUGGUGUAGCGGUGGAAUGCGCAGAUAUCAGGAGGAACACCGAUGGCGAAGGCAGUUCUCUGGGCCGUAACUGACGCUGAGGAGCGAAAGCGUGGGGAGCGAACAGG
rnacentral:rRNA from 1 species